AGUGAGCGCUGGCGGUAGGCCUAACACAUGCAAGUCGAACGGCAGCACAGUAAGAGCUUGCUCUUACGGGUGGCGAGUGGCGGACGGGUGAGGAAUACAUCGGAAUCUACUUUUUCGUGGGGGAUAACGUAGGGAAACUUACGCUAAUACCGCAUACGACCUACGGGUGAAAGCAGGGGAUCUUCGGACCUUGCGCGAUUGAAUGAGCCGAUGUCGGAUUAGCUAGUUGGCGGGGUAAAGGCCCAACAAGGCGACGAUCCGUAGCUGGUCUGAGAGGAUGAUCAGCCACACUGGAACUGAGACACGGUCCAGACUCCUACGGGAGGCAGCAGUGGGGAAUAUUGGACAAUGGGCGCAAGCCUGAUCCAGCCAUACCGCGUGGGUGAAGAAGGCCUUCGGGUUGUAAAGCCCUUUUGUUGGGAAAGAAAAGCAGCAGGUUAAUACCCCGCUGCUCUGACGGUACCCAAAGAAUAAGCACCGGCUAACUUCGUG
rnacentral:rRNA from 1 species